UUAAAAAUAGGCUAAAUUGAACUUGGGGGUUAAAUUAAACAUUUUGCCAUUUAUUUUAUAUGCUGCCAAAUUGGAUGUAGGGAGAUGGGAUUCUGCAACUUUUUGCGUUAGUUUAGUUCUUUGGAUGUAUAAUUACUUUUUGCGGCAAUAAUUUUGCCUUUUGGUAUGUACUAAUGGAAUUUUAUGAGGUUUGACAAACUAUAACUGAUAUUCAAAAUACAGAAUUCCUUGGUUUAUUUCCAUGUCCUCUUGCUCAACUUGUAUGCAUUGGAACCGUUUUUCAAUUUUGAAUUUCCUUUAAAGGCAUCUUUUCAUUUCUUUUCAGUGACCUUUCGUUAUCCAUUAUAGAGUGCAUACAGUUGCAACUCUGAAAAAGGUGAGCCACAAAUGCAUGUAGGGCACUUUGCGUAGGCCAUAAGAAAACAGCAUUAAAAGGAUACUGUUAUUCCUUAUGAUUAUCAAAAAGAUGCAAGUUUGGUUUAACAAGGCUUUAGCUGAAUAAUUUUUGUUUUUGAAAAUUGUAUGCGAAUAAAGUUGAUCUUGACAUGAAACAUUUCAAAAUCAAAUGGAAUGUUAAGCAAGAAAGCAGAUGAAUCUCUUCAUUUUUGUUCUUUCUCCGAACUCGUUGCUGCAGAAGUUAUUCUGCAUCUAGAUGAUUUGCUGUUGUGGGUACCUAAUUUUGUGAUUUUUGAAAAUGAGUAAAAAUAUGGUAAUUAACAUUCUCCAACAUACAAAUCACUAUUUUUUGUUAUUGCAGGAAAAGUCACAUGACUUACAUAUGAUCAUCAUAUUUAGAUUGUUGUAUGCAUGUUCAUAUGACUUUUUCUGAUGUGGCAAAGAACUAUUGGUUCAUGUGG
rnacentral:misc_RNA from 1 species